GGGUGUGAUCAUACUGACACUAAUGCACUGGAUCCCAUUGGAUCUUUAAAUUUAACCAUGCUUGGUGAGAGUAGUAAUAGGAUGGGUGACUUCUUGGAAAGUCCUUGUGUUGAAUCCC
rnacentral:rRNA from 1 species